rnacentral:rRNA from 1 species
GUCGAACGCUGGCGGCGUGCCUAAUACAUGCAAGUCGAACGCAGUGGGGACGGGUGAGUAACAAGUGGGUAACCUCCCAUCAGAGGGGAUAACACUUGGCAACAGGUGCUUAACCGAUACUGAUGGAUGGACCCGCGGUGGAUUAGCUAGUCGGUGGGGUAACGGCUCACCAAGGCCACGAUGCAUAGCUGGGCUGAGAGGGUGACCAGCCACACUGGAACUGAGACACGGCCCAGACGCCUACGGGAGGCAGCAGUGGGGAAUCUUCGGCAAUGGACGAAAGUCUGAUCGAGCAAUGCCGCGUGUGUGAAGAAGGCUUUCGGAUUGUAAAACUCUUUUGUUAGGGAAGCGUUAUCUAACCAGAAAGCCACGGCUAACUACGUGCCAGCAGCCGCGGUAAUAC